rnacentral:rRNA from 1 species
AUUGAACGCUGGCGGCAUGCUUUACACAUGCAAGUCGAACGGUAACAGGUUAAGCUGACGAGUGGCGAACGGGUGAGUAAUGCAUCGGAACGUGCCCGAUCGUGGGGGAUAACGCAGCGAAAGCUGCGCUAAUACCGCAUACGAUCUGAGGAUGAAAGCGGGGGACCGUAAGGCCUCGCGCGAUCGGAGCGGCCGAUGUCAGAUUAGGUAGUUGGUGGGGUAAAGGCUCACCAAGCCAACGAUCUGUAGCUGGUCUGAGAGGACGACCAGCCACACCGGGACUGAGACACGGCCCAGACUCCUACGGGAGGCAGCAGUGGGGAAUUUUGGACAAUGGGCGAAAGCCUGAUCCAGCAAUGCCGCGUGCAGGAAGAAGGCCUUCGGGUUGUAAACUGCUUUUGUACGGAGCGAAAAGGCUCUCUCUAAUACAGGGGGCUCAUGACGGUACCGUAAGAAUAAGCACCGGCUAACUACGUGCCAGCCGCCGCCGUAAAAC